rnacentral:rRNA from 1 species
UACGGAGGGGGCAAGCGUUAUUCGGAAUUAUUGGGCGUAAAGGGCGCGUAGGCGGCCUGGCAAGUGGAAGGUGAAAUCCCUCGGCUUAACCGAGGAACUGCCCUCCAAACUGCUUGGCUUGAGUACGGGAGAGGUGAGUGGAAUUCCCAGUGUAGCGGUGAAAUGCGUAGAUAUUGGGAGGAACACCAGUGGCGAAGGCGGCUCACUGGACAGGAACUGACGCUGAGGCGCGAAAGCGUGGGGAUCAAACGGG